UUGGCGGACGGGUGAGUAACGCGUGGGUAACCUGCCGUAUGCAGGGGGAUAACACUUAGAAAUAGGUGCUAACACCGCAUAAGCGCACGAGAGCGCAUGCUUUUGUGUGAAAAACUCCGGUGGCAUACGAUGGACCCGCGUCUGAUUAGCCAGUUGGCAGGGUAACGGCCUACCAAAGCGACGAUCAGUAGCCGGCCUGAGAGGGCGGACGGCCACAUCGGGACUGAGACACGGCCCAAACUCCUACGGGAGGCAGCAG
rnacentral:rRNA from 1 species